UGGGGAAUCUUGGACAAUGGGCGCAAGCCUGAUCCAGCCAUGCCGCGUGAGUGAUGAAGGCCUUAGGGUUGUAAAGCUCUUUUGCCGGGGACGAUAAUGACGGUACCCGGAGAAUAAGUCCCGGCUAACUUCGUGCCAGCAGCCGCGGUAAUACGAAGGGGACUAGCGUUGUUCGGAAUCACUGGGCGUAAAGCGCACGUAGGCGGAUUUGUAAGUCAGGGGUGAAAUCCCGGGGCUCAACCUCGGAACUGCCUUUGAUACUGCGGAUCUCGAGUCCGAUAGAGGUGAGUGGAAUUCCUAGUGUAGAGGUGAAAUUCGUAGAUAUUAGGAAGAACACCGGUGGCGAAGGCGGCCCACUGGAUCGGUACUGACGCUGAGGUGCGAAAGCGUGGGGAGCAAACAGGAUUAGAUACCCCCGUAGUCCCUGAGCGGGCUGGCAAGGCGCAU
rnacentral:rRNA from 1 species